GUGCCAGCAGCCGCGGUAAUACGUAGGAGGCGAGCGUUGUCCGGAAUCACUGGGCGUAAAGCGCGUGUAGGCGGUUGGGCAAGUCUGCCGUGAAAUCUGCUCGCUCAACGAGCAGGGGUCGGUGGAAACUGCCGAACUGGAGGACGGUAGAGGGGGGUGGAAUUCCCGGUGUAGUGGUGAAAUGCGUAGAGAUCGGGAGGAACACCAGCGGCGAAGGCGGCCCCCUGGGCCGCUCCUGACGCUGAGACGCGAAGGCCAGGGUAGCGAACGGGAUUAGAUACCCCCGUAGUCC
rnacentral:rRNA from 1 species